ensembl:lncRNA
CUGCAUUCCAUGCACUGAAUCAGGCCCUGGAGAUGUGGAAGCUCCAUUGGAGGCCCAGCACAGUGAUGGUGGGUGCCCCUUUUGGGAUGUAAGUCCUUUUUGUUCUGUCUGGAGGAAGAAAAGGAAACAGUUGUACUGUUUCUCUGAAGGUCUGGAUUGCAGUGUGAAUCCUCCUUCAUUGCUGAUACUGAUGCUUCUGUGCAUAUCCUGAAAAAAAUAUAUAUAUGCCAGCAGUCUCUUCUUAGUGGUUUCACACAGGGGAAACUGGUCAAAGAGGAACUGCAAGGAACAUGCCUUGUUUAUUUGGAAAAAGUUGUCCUUCCCAGCACACAGGAGAACUAUCAGAGCAGAGACUAUCUGAUGCAUAGCAGGAUGGAGGAGGAUGGGCCAAUUGGCAGAGGAGAACAGUGUCAUCUAGCAGAAGUCUUUCUGUGCCCCUCUGGAACUGCAGUUAUGCUCCCAAGAAGUGCCAGUAGGCCUCGCCGGUCAAAACAUGAUGGAUUUGGAAAAGUCUGCCAACGUCACCUUUGAACCAAAAGUGUUUGAAGUGCCUCCGGAGCCAAGCCUAAGAUAUUCUGAAUAUAGAGUAUUCUACGAUGCGUACAGCAUUUGCUUGAGGUAUGCAGAUCAGGAGAGGGGGAAGAGAAGUGGAAAAGGAAUUGCUUUAGAAAUUGCUGAAACAGCCUAUUUUCUCACCUCCAGCAGUUCCUCCACUCCUAUUUCCUAACGUCUAAACUGGGAGAGGAUAAUUUCACGUGGGUAGUGUCUGCACUGAUUUUUGUAACAACACCGUUCUGGGUCUUUAAGCAGUACCUGAAAGCAGCUUGUAUCCAAGAGGGGCUCCUUGGCCUGUCAGUGAUGGGAGGAGGGUGGAAGGGUGACUGCAUUGUCCAUCAUGUGUUGAUGUGAACAGGCUAUGAUGAGACCACAGAGCUGCAGGACUUACCGGGAGAAUCUGAGGACAACAUCUGCAGGGGAAAUCAGUAGACAGGGAGGUUAACAGCGAGGAGCUGCCUACAGGAUGGGAAUUAAAACAGCAAGAAUUGUAGAUGGGAGGAAAGGAUGUUUUAAAAGAUUUUUACAGUGGCACCUCAUGUCAGAAGAAAAUGAACUGCUGAACUCUCUCUUCUUCACCCGCCACUAACCUUUACAUGACAAAAUGACAGCGCUGAGGCAAAUCGUUGUAGGCUGAGAAAACAGUUUUACUGAGCAACAGCAGCAAUUUCAGCAAGCUGUGACAUUUGAAAGCAGACAUACUAGCCUGUCCUUUAUUUACAAGCAGGAAAACGCCCUCCUAUGCCUAAUCAGAAACAAUGGCCAGUAGUCAGAGUUAACAAAAAUAGUAAGAAAUGCUUCAACAGAUUGGGAAACUGUCAUUGUAGAUCUUGGAAGUGUGAAGAAACAUUGCCUUUUGGUGAUGUUAGGCUGGGGACUGGAAAAAUGUCCCCAGGACAUUUAGGACAAAUUCAUGUCCCUGAG